rnacentral:tRNA from 1 species
GGCGUGGUAGUACGGCGCUGAGUGGGAUCGCCCUCAUAAUCCCUGGGUCGCGGGUUCGAGCCCCGCCCGCCCCACCA